rnacentral:rRNA from 1 species
UCUAAGUACCCGGAGGAAAAGAAAGAAUAAUCGAUUCCCUAAGUAGCGGCGAGCGAAAGGGGAGGAGCCCAAACCAGGCGAAAGUCUGGGGUUGAGGACAGGUCAUAGAGUAUACUGGAACCUAGUCGAAGAUGACUGGAAAGUCACGCCAUAGAAGGUAAGAGCCCUGUAGGCGAAAGGGGAAGGUAGAAGGACCUGAUCCAGAGUACCACGGGACACGAGGAAUCCUGUGGGAAGCAGGGUGGACCACCACCCAAGGCUAAAUACUACCUGGUGACCGAUAGCGUAUAGUACCGUGAGGGAAAGGUGAAAAGAACCCCGGGAGGGGAGUGAAAUAGAACCUGAAACCUUGUGCCUACAAGCAGUCGGAGCUCGUUAAGGAGUGACGGCGUGCUUUUUGUAGAACGAGCCAGCGAGUUACGGUAUGUAGCGAGGUUAAGCACCUUAGGUGUGGAGCCGAAGGGAAACCGAGUCUGAAAAGGGCGGUAAGUUACAUGCCGUAGACCCGAAACCGGGUGAUCUAUCCAUGGACAGGGUGAAGAUAGGGUAAAACCUAUCGGAGGCCCGAACCACGUUGGUGUUGAAAAACCAUGGGAUGAGCUGUGGAUAGCGGAGAAAUUCCAAUCGAACUCGGAGAUAGCUGGUUCUCCCCGAAAUAGCUUUAGGGCUAGCCUCAGGGAGUAAGUUUAGGAGGUAGAGCACUGAAUGGGCUAGGGGCCGUAUAGGUUACCGAACCCUAUCAAACUCCGAAUGCCUAAACUGAGACCCUGGGAGUCAGACUACGAGUGAUAAGAUCCGUGGUCGAGAGGGAAACAGCCCAGACCACCAGCUAAGGUCCCGAAGUGCAUGUUAAGUGGUAAAGGAUGUGGGAUCUCAAAGACAACCAGGAUGUUGGCUUAGAAGCAGCCAUACAUUUAAAGAGUGCGUAAUAGCUCACUGGUCGAGAGGUCCUGCGCCGAAGAUGUCCGGGGCUAAAACAUGCCACCGAAGCUGUGGGCUCUUAGGAGCGGUAGGGGAGCUUCGUAUACGGGUAGAAGCCAUACCGUAAGGAGUGGUGGACUGUAUACGAGUGAGAAUGCUGGCAUAAGUAGCGAGAAGUAGGUGAGAAUCCUACUCGCCGAAAGCCUAAGGUUUCCUGGGGAAGGUUCGUCCGCCCAGGGUUAGUCGGGACCUAAGCCGAGGCCGAAAGGCGUAGGUGAUGGACAAUCGGUUGAUAUUCCGAUACCACCUGUAGCCGUUUGAGAGAAGGGGUGACGCAGGAGGAUAGGCUGAGCGCACGGAUGGAGAUGUGCGUCCAAGGCGCAAGGCAUGCUCUAUAGGCAAAUCCGUAGAGCUAAGCUGAGCGCUUAAGGGGAGCCGCAAGGCGAAGCAGCUGAUUUCACACUGCCGAGAAAAGCCUCUAUCGAGGAAGCAGGUGCCCGUACCGCAAACCGACACAGGUAGGCGAGGAGAGAAUCCUAAGGCGAGCGAGAGAACCCUCGUUAAGGAACUCGGCAAAUUGACCCCGUAACUUCGGGAGAAGGGGUGCCUGCGAGAGCAGGCCGCAGAGAAUAGGCCCAGGCGACUGUUUAGCAAAAACACAGGUCUCUGCUAAGUCGAAAGACGAAGUAUAGGGGCUGACGCCUGCCCGGUGCUGGAAGGUUAAGGGGAAGGGUGAGAGCUCUGAACCGAAGCCCCAGUAAACGGCGGCCGUAACUAUAACGGUCCUAAGGUAGCGAAAUUCCUUGUCGGGUAAGUUCCGACCCGCACGAAUGGCGUAACGACCUGGGCGCUGUCUCAACGAGGGGCUCGGCGAAAUUGUAGUGCAAGUGAAGAUGCUUGCUACCCGCGAUUG